GCGAAACCUUUACAAUGCACGAAAGUGUGAUAAGGCAACUCCUUGUGCUUAUCCAAAAGAUAGCUUUUUAGGUAUGCAAUGUAUACUAAGAAUAAGUGAUGGGCAAGACCGGUGCCAGCAGCCGCGGUAAUACCGGCGUCACAAGUGGAGACCACGAUUUACUGGGGUCUAAAGUGUUCGUAGCUGGUCAUAUAAGUCUCUUGUGAAAAGUUCUGUAGCUUAACUCAGGAAUUUGCAAGAGGUACUGUAUGACUUGAGACCGGAAGAGGUGUAAAGCA
rnacentral:rRNA from 1 species